rnacentral:rRNA from 1 species
UACGUAGGGUGCGAGCGUUAAUCGGAAUUACUGGGCGUAAAGGGUGCGCAGGCGGUUUGUUAAGCUUGAUGUGAAAGCCCCGGGCUUAACCUGGGAACGGCAUUGAGGACUGGCAGACUAGAGUGUGGCAGAGGGGGGUGGAAUUCCAGGUGUAGCAGUGAAAUGCGCAGAUAUCUGGAGGAACACCGAUGGCGAAGGCAGCCCCCUGGGCUAACACUGACGCUCAGGCACGAAAGCGUGGGGAGCAAACAGG